AGGGAAAAGCUCAAAUCUAAAAUCUGGCGGUCUACGGCCGUCCGAGUUGUAGUUUAGAGAGGUGUUUUCUGCGUCGGACCACACACAAGUCCUUUGGGAUAAGGCUUCAUAGAGGGUGAGAAUCCCGUACAUGGUGUGGACUACCGGGGCUAUACGAUGCACCCUCAAA
rnacentral:rRNA from 1 species